GAUCUGGACCCAGAGACCACGUCCUCUCCUCGAGAACUGCAUCAGGGCCAGCGCAACACUGUCAACACCAAAUGGAUUCCCAAAGAUGGGAUGCGUCUUCUGUCCAGGAAACUUGCUACAGCAAACACAGCCCUGGGCCUGGGACCCACAACAGAGGUCAGACCCCCAUAUAACGUGAUUUCCAGAGAAGACACAGCAAGCUGAGAAAUGAAACAGGUGUGAAAACAACACUGUGGUUAUGUAAGGAUGCCUUCUGCGUUUUUAAAAGGUACGUCCUCUGAGUUGAGAAGUGGAAGUUUCGCGGCCUCUACGGUGUGCUCCAAAAUACCACAGCAACAAAAAAAAAAAAAGGAAAAGGAAGAGAAGGAACGAACAAGAUAGGAACCAUGUGGCAAAAUCUUGACCAUGAUCAUGGAAUUGAAACAAGAACCAUUUUAAAAGCUCCUGUAUUGAAGGAGUAAGGGAACAAAAUGACCGGAGCCAAGGAGGCACAGAGCCAUGAUCUCUGACUGGAGGGGACGAGGCUGG